UUCAAUAUUCUUGUCCAACAAAUCUUAUUUGCUAUGACUUCAAUUUGAUCCCCUUCGAGCUUGAUUGUUUGAGAAACAACCCCCACAAUUAUCUUUAGAUCUUUGAUGCUCCACAAAGAUCCUUGAAUGAAACCAAUUAUACAAUUAUCUUAUAGCACCUUAGCAAUCUAGAUCUCCAAAUACUGCAAGUGUUCUUGAAAAAAGUUUUUAAUCUGAAGAAAUUGUAGAAAAAGAGAGAAAAAUGACUUUAGAGUAUUUUUGCAAAUUUAUUCAAUAGUUUAAGAAUGAGUGGAGGAAAGUAUAUAUAGGUGAGACUGAGAGUGAUAGGAGCAAAUCGAAUC
rnacentral:lncRNA from 1 species